rnacentral:rRNA from 1 species
CGGGAGACCGCCGGGGUCAACUCGGAGGAAGGUGGGGACGACGUCAAGUCAUCAUGCCCCUUAUGUCUUGGGCUGCACACGUGCUACAAUGGCCGGUACAAUGAGCUGCGAUACCGUGAGGUGGAGCGAAUCUCAAAAAGCCGGUCUCAG